UACGUAGGGGGCAAGCGUUGUCCGGAUUUAUUGGGCGUAAAGAGCGUGUAGGCGGCUGGGUAGGUCCGUUGUGAAAACUCGAGGCUCAACCUCGAGACGCCGAUGGAAACCCUCCAGCUAGAGUCCGGAAGAGGAGAGUGGAAUUCCUGGUGUAGCGGUGAAAUGCGCAGAUAUCAGGAAGAACACCCGUGGCUAAGGCGGCUCUCUAGUACGGUACUGACACUGAGACGCGAAAGCGUGGGGAGCGAACAGG
rnacentral:rRNA from 1 species